CCUACGGGAGGCAGCAGUGGGGAAUAUUGGACAAUGGGCGCAAGCCUGAUCCAGCCAUGCCGCGUGGAUGAUGAAGGCCCUAGGGUUGUAAAGUCCUUUCGACGGGGAAGCGGUACCCGUAGAAGAAGCCCCGGCUAACUUCGUGCCAGCAGCCGCGGUAAUACGAAGGGGGCUAGCGUUGCUCGGAAUCACUGGGCGUAAAGCGCACGUAGGCGGACUCUUAAGUCGGUGGUGAAAUCCUGGAGCUCAACUCCAGAACUGCCUUCGAUACUGAGAGUCUUGAGUCCGGGAGAGGUGAGUGGAACUGCGAGUGUAGAGGUGAAAUUCGUAGAUAUUCGCAAGAACACCAGUGGCGAAGGCGGCUCACUGGCCCGGACUGACGCUGAGGUGCGAAAGCGUGGGGAGCAAACAGGAUUAGAUACCCUUGUAGUC
rnacentral:rRNA from 1 species